rnacentral:lncRNA from 1 species
ACCCAGCAAGAUCCCCUCUCUCACCAGUUCUGGCGGCGGCGUGGAGCACCCGGCGAUCUAAGGUGCUAGAUCACUGCCUCUUUCCUCUCUUUAAGGGAAAAUCUUUCUCCGCUCGCCUUGCUCUCUUAUUUCUUCUCUUUCUGCAGAAACAGUACUGCUAGCAGUAGUGGCGGACAAUGGCGAGCAGCGGAGCAGCUGCGCAAGGAGCGGCGAUGUGGCUGAUGGGCGAGCUGUGGACCGGGCUGCUGGUCGAGCGGUGGCGCGUGCGGAUGGCCGAGCGACAACGCAGGCUGAAGGGUUCUAUUCUGCUGUGUUCUCCUUCUCAUGAAGGGUGAAGGAGGUGGGAGAUCCAUAUCGCUUGCUUCAUCCAAGGUCAAAUCCAUGUACCAGGCAAGCGACCAAGAAUGCCUUCUCUCCCUGCCCGGCUAGAAGUUGGAUCCUUCCAAGGUACCGUAACUGAAUCACAUCCGUCUCCCUCUUCUUAAUUCGUUCAUGUUAGAGUACAUCUAUGUUUCCAUUCAUCUGAUUUUUUUUUAAUUUGGCAGAGGGAACCUCUCAGGAUUUUCUACGAGUAACUGUCCAAAAAGUACAUGUAUGUUUCCAUUCAUCUGAUUUUUUUAAAAAUUUGACAGAGGGAACCUCUCAGAAUUUUCUACGAGUUACUGCCCAAAAAGAUCCAAUGCAGUGAGAUGGCUGACUCCAGGUAGGUGUACCACCUCUGUUCAGUUCCAUUACCAAUUACCGUAUUGUAGUACUCCGCAAGUUAAGUCUGCAAUCCCCAGCUAGUCUAGUCUGAUAUAUUUCUAAUGUCAAAUCUUUGCGAGCUAAGAUGUCAAAACUGCACAAAUCACACAACUAUGGUGGAAAUUCUACUAGGGAGUAGUAGUAGUAGCAGCAGCUUCGCUUUGUACAACUAGUUAUACAGGAACAAAGUAAGAUGAGAAAAUAUGUGCAUAUUCGGAUGAUGAAAAAGCUUGCCAUGGUUGUGCCGCACUUAACUAUUUCACUUAGUAACUUUCUGGAUUUACUUCAAGUUCAUAAAUCAUUCCUCUUUGCUAAAUCGCAGAGUUGAUUACUAAAAACGAAUUAUCACAUGUACCAGGGAACUAUAUUAAAAGGUCAAAAUUACUAGUAUAUAAGUUUGUGGAUAAAAGGUGCAAACGAGUGAACUAGUUUUAUUUGUGUAUUGUUCCCAUUUACAUUUAGUUUCUAUUCCCCAGAUGCAUGGUUUGAAAAGGAGGGAACCACUGGUGUAGCACUAGUAAAUGCUGACGUACGCUGAGUUCCUAGUCCAUGCAUACUCCAGUACAAUAUAGAACACUUAAUUUUAUUCCCUGUAGCAUCCCUAUAAAAGUUUGUUCCCUGUGGCUCAAUUGAAUUUAGCUACAGUACAUUACAUGAUUUUUCAUCUCUCUUGCAAGUUAUCAUUUUAUAGGGGGGUGGGAAGCAAUACUGGAGGCGGUCCAAGUCAUGACAAUAAUCAUUCCAUUAAUGAUGAUGACGAUAACACCUAUGACAUCGAGGCAGGGGAUAUCUCGUGCGAUAAACAUUAUGAUCCAUAUGGCGAUGAAUGAGAUACUAACUCUGGCGAUGAUGGUGACUAGUUUAACAAUCUUAUUCAAGUCACGCAACAAAGCGAAGUUUUGAAGAUUGAGGGCAAUUUAGCUUAUGCAAU